UUUUGAUCCAUCAUGGAUAAUCUGUCAUCGGAAGAAAUUCAGCAGAGGGCUCACCAGGUUACUGAUGAGUCUCUGGAAAGUACAAGGAGAAUUCUGGGUUUGGCCAUUGAGUCUCACGAUGCAGGAAUCAAGACCAUCACUAUGCUGGAUGAACAAGGGGAACAACUAAACCGCAUAGAAGAAGGCAUGGACCAAAUAAAUAAAGACAUGAGAGAGGCAGAGAAGACUUUAACAGAACUCAACAAGUGCUGUGGCCUUUGUGUAUGCCCAUGUAAUAGAACAAAGAACUUUGAGUCUGGUAAGGCCUAUAAAACAACAUGGGGAGAUGGUGGAGACAACUCACCUAGCAAUGUGGUAUCUAAACAGCCAGGCCGGAUAACAAAUGGUCAACCAACUACAGGAGCAGCCAGCAGUGGAUACAUUAAACGUAUAACUAAUGAUACUAGAGAAGAUGAAAUGGAAGAAAACCUGACUCAAGUGGGCAGUAUCCUGGGAAAUCUAAAAACAUGGCCCUAGACAUGGGCAAUGAGAUUGAAUUUCAAAAUCGACAAAUAGAACAGAUCACAGAAAAGGUUGAUACCAACAAAGAUCGAAUUGACAUUACCAAUGCCAGAGCAAAGAAACUCAUUGAAAACUAA